rfam:Glarea lozoyensis 74030 mitochondrion, complete genome.
ACGGCCAUAGGUUAAUGGUAGACUAGUCGCCUUCCAAGCGAUGUGUGUCGAUUCGAAUUCGGCUGGCCGUA